UACGUAGGGUGCAAGCGUUGUCCGGAUUCACUGGGUUUAAAGGGUGCGUAGGUGGGCAGUUAAGUCAGUGGUGAAAUCUCCGGGCUCAACCCGGAAACUGCCAUUGAUACUAUCUGUCUUGAAUAUCGUGGAGGUAAGCGGAAUAUGUCAUGUAGCGGUGAAAUGCUUAGAUAUGACAUAGAACACCAAUUGCGAAGGCAGCUUACUACCCGAAUAUUGACACUGAGGCACGAAAGCGUGGGGAUCAAACAGG
rnacentral:rRNA from 1 species